GACGAACGCUGGCGGCGUGCUUAACACAUGCAAGUCGAACGGAAAGGCCCCCACUUUUUUUGUGGUGGUUCUCGAGUGGCGACCGGUUGAUUAACCCGUGGGUGAUCUGCCCUGUACUUCGGAAUAAGGUUGGGAAACUCGGUCUAAUCCCGGAUAGGACCAUGGUUUAGUUUCUCAUUGUGUAAAAAUUAUUGUUUUGUUGUAGGAUGAGCUCGCGGCCUGUCAGCUUGUUGGUGUGGUAAUGGCCUACCAAAGCGUCGACGGGUAGCCGGCCUGAGAGGGUGGACGGCUACAGUGGGACUACGAUACGGCCCAGACUCGGACGGGAGGCAGCAGUGGGGUAUAUUGCAGAAUGGGCGCAAGCCUGAUGAAGCGACGCCGCGUAGGGGAUGAUGGCCCUCGGGGUGUAAACUCCUUUCGUUAGGGACGAAGCCGCACCUUUUUUGAGUGUGGUGACGGUACCUUUGUUAAAAAGCACCGGCUAACUACGUG
rnacentral:rRNA from 1 species